UACAGAGGGUGCAAGCGUUAAUCGGAUUUACUGGGCGUAAAGCGUGCGUAGGCGGUCAGAUAAGUCGGAUGUGAAAUCCCUGGGCUCAACCUGGGAACUGCAUUCGAUACUGUCUGACUAGAAUUCGGUAGAGGGUGGCGGAACUCCGGGUGUAGCGGUGAAAUGCGUAGAUAUCCGGAAGAACACCGAUGGCGAAGGCAACCACCUGGGCCUGAAUUGACGCUGAGGCACGAAAGCGUGGGGAGCAAACAGG
rnacentral:rRNA from 1 species